rnacentral:misc_RNA from 1 species
AGAAAUGAAGUCCAAAAGAGUCAACUGAAAGAGAAAUUGCAUAGCUUUCAUGGUGAUGAUGUUGGUGAGAACGCCUGAAAGUACAAAUGGAGAGGAAAAUGUAACAUUGUGAGUAACGAUAGAGCCAAGGGGAGAUUAUCUAGGGGCAAAACAAUGUGAUGAAAGAAUGAAGGAGAAGGGAACUGGGAAGUAGAAUUUCUCAUAGAGGAAAGAAACUUGACAGGACUAGAACAGAGCUAUCAUCAUCCACGUACAGAACAUAGACAGGUAAAAAAUUGAACGCUUCCAAAAGUGAGAAGACAUAGAA